UACGAAGGGGGCGAGCGUUGUUCGGAUUUACUGGGCGUAAAGGGCGCGUAGGCGGCCCUCCUAGUCGCGUGUGAAAGCCCCGGGCUCAACCUGGGAAUUGCAUUCGAGACUGCAUGGCUAGGAUGCGGAAGAGGGAAGCGGAAUUUCCGGUGUAGCGGUGAAAUGCGUAGAUAUCGGAAGGAACACCAGUGGCGAAAGCGGCUUCCUGGUCCAGCAUCGACGUUCAGGCACGAAAGCGUGGGGAGCAAACAGG
rnacentral:rRNA from 1 species